CCCUCAGUUUCUCUCCGCCUCCCUCUCACUUUCUCUCUCUUCUCUCUCGUUCUUUCCCCCUCUCACCCGAGCUCUUCCCCUCCCUCGGCUUCGACCUUCGAUCUCCCUCAUCCGAGGGAGGUGUUCCUCACCGCCGGCUCCAUGGCACUCAGCAGCUCGACGCGACGUCCCACCGAUCAUGGCACAAGCUCCAGCGUCGCCGCGAAGAUCAUCGAACCACACCGAGCCCAGCAACAACAGGUUCCAGUUCUCCGCCGUUCGAGCAGCCCUCCGCCGACGCAAGCACACGAUCCACACCUCUCUCUUCCCUCCGACGCCGUAGAUGAGCUACCACUAUGCAACUCGAGCCGAGGCAAGUCACCCUUGAAGGAUCGAGCUCCACCGACGAUCCAUCCAUCUCCGACGAGUUCCAAGAGCCCCACUAUACGAUCUAGGUGAUCGUUAAAUCGAGGAAAGGAAUUAGCAUCGCGAAUUGUGGAAUUACGCUCAAGUCAAUAAGGGGAUACUUCCACAGGUGCUGAGUAGUGGUGAUCGGGUGACGACUCCGAAGACUCGAAGUCGAUUGCAUUCAGUUGUGGUGAGGUUCCAGCGCGCAUUGUGUGUGAGAUUUGUUGUGAUUUUAUUUGUGAGGUUGUUGUGAGGAUUAUACAAUUCCAUUUGUUAUAUGUUGAAUUAUCAUUUGGUUUGUAAUAAUCGGCUUGACUGAGUUAUGUUUUAAACUCAGAGGUGAUCCGCUGUGACAUUAAAAUGAUUUCAUUUUCAGUGAGAUUGUUUUUGGUGU